rnacentral:rRNA from 1 species
CUACUGGGGUAUCUAAUCCUGUUCGCUCCCCAUGCUUUCGCUCCUCAGUGUCAGUUACAGCCCAGAGUCCCGCCUUCGCCACCGGUGUUCCUCCUGAUAUCUGCGCAUUUCACCGCUACACCAGGAAUUCCAGACUCCCCUACUGCACUCUAGUCAGCCCGUACCCACUGCACGCGCAACGUUAAGCGUUGCGUUUCCACAGCAGACGUGACCAACCACCUACGAGCUCUUUACGCCCAAUAAUUCCGGACAACGCUCGUACCCUACGUAUUACCGCGGCUGCUGGCAC